GGGUUGUGAGGUUAAGCGACUAAGCGUACACGGUGGAUGCCCUGGCAGUCAGAGGCGAUGAAGGACGUGCUAAUCUGCGAAAAGCGCCGGCGAGGUGAUAUGAACCUUUGACCCGGCGAUGUCCGAAUGGGGAAACCCAGUGUGAUUCGUCACACUAUCGUUAACUGAAUACAUAGGUUAACGAGGCGAACCGGGGGAACUGAAACAUCUAAGUACCCCGAGGAAAAGAAAUCAACCGAGAUUCCCCCAGUAGCGGCGAGCGAACGGGGAGCAGCCCAGAGUCUGAAUCAGCUUGUGUGUUAGUGGAAGCGUCUGGAAAGUCGCACGGUACAGGGUGACAGUCCCGUACACGAAAGCACACAGGCUGUGAACUCGAAGAGUAGGGCGGGACACGUGGUAUCCUGUCUGAAUAUGGGGGGACCAUCCUCCAAGGCUAAAUACUCCUGACUGACCGAUAGUGAACCAGUACCGUGAGGGAAAGGCGAAAAGAACCCCGGCGAGGGGAGUGAAAAAGAACCUGAAACCGUGUACGUACAAGCAGUGGGAGCACCUUCGUGGUGUGACUGCGUACCUUUUGUAUAAUGGGUCAGCGACUUAUAUUCUGUAGCAAGGUUAACCGUAUAGGGGAGCCGAAGGGAAACCGAGUCUUAACUGGGCGUUAAGUUGCAGGGUAUAGACCCGAAACCCGGUGAUCUAGCCAUGGGCAGGUUGAAGGUUGGGUAACACUAACUGGAGGACCGAACCGACUAAUGUUGAAAAAUUAGCGGAUGACUUGUGGCUGGGGGUGAAAGGCCAAUCAAACCGGGAGAUAGCUGGUUCUCCCCGAAAGCUAUUUAGGUAGCGCCUCGUGAACUCAUCUUCGGGGGUAGAGCACUGUUUCGGCUAGGGGGCCAUCCCGGCUUACCAACCCGAUGCAAACUACGAAUACCGAAGAAUGUUAUCACGGGAGACACACGGCGGGUGCUAACGUCCGUCGUGAAGAGGGAAACAACCCAGACCGCCAGCUAAGGUCCCAAAGUCAUGGUUAAGUGGGAAACGAUGUGGGAAGGCACAGACAGCCAGGAUGUUGGCUUAGAAGCAGCCAUCAUUUAAAGAAAGCGUAAUAGCUCACUGGUCGAGUCGGCCUGCGCGGAAGAUGUAACGGGGCUAAACCAUGCACCGAAGCUGCGGCAGCGACGCUUAUGCGUUGUUGGGUAGGGGAGCGUUCUGUAAGCCGUUGAAGGUGUGCUGUGAGGCAUGCUGGAGGUAUCAGAAGUGCGAAUGCUGACAUAAGUAACGAUAAAGCGGGUGAAAAGCCCGCUCGCCGGAAGACCAAGGGUUCCUGUCCAACGUUAAUCGGGGCAGGGUGAGUCGACCCCUAAGGCGAGGCCGAAAGGCGUAGUCGAUGGGAAACAGGUUAAUAUUCCUGUACUUGGUGUUACUGCGAAGGGGGGACGGAGAAGGCUAUGUUAGCCGGGCGACGGUUGUCCCGGUUUAAGCAUGUAGGCGGAACGAUUAGGUAAAUCCGGUCGUUUAUUAACGCUGAGGUGUGAUGACGAGGCACUACGGUGCUGAAGUAACAAAUGCCCUGCUUCCAGGAAAAGCCUCUAAGCAUCAGGUAACACGAAAUCGUACCCCAAACCGACACAGGUGGUCAGGUAGAGAAUACCAAGGCGCUUGAGAGAACUCGGGUGAAGGAACUAGGCAAAAUGGUGCCGUAACUUCGGGAGAAGGCACGCUGAUAUGUAGGUGAAGCCCCUGCGGGUGGAGCUGAAAUCAGUCGAAGAUACCAGCUGGCUGCAACUGUUUAUUAAAAACACAGCACUGUGCAAACACGAAAGUGGACGUAUACGGUGUGACGCCUGCCCGGUGCCGGAAGGUUAAUUGAUGGGGUUAGCGGCAACGCGAAGCUCUUGAUCGAAGCCCCGGUAAACGGCGGCCGUAACUAUAACGGUCCUAAGGUAGCGAAAUUCCUUGUCGGGUAAGUUCCGACCUGCACGAAUGGCGUAAUGAUGGCCAGGCUGUCUCCACCCGAGACUCAGUGAAAUUGAACUCGCUGUGAAGAUGCAGUGUACCCGCGGCAAGACGGAAAGACCCCGUGAACCUUUACUAUAGCUUGACACUGAACACUGGUCCUUGAUGUGUAGGAUAGGUGGGAGGCUUUGAAGCGUGGACGCCAGUCUGCGUGGAGCCGACCUUGAAAUACCACCCUUUAAUGGCUGGUGUUCUAACGUAGACCCGUAAUCCGGGUUGCGGACAGUGUCUGGUGGGUAGUUUGACUGGGGCGGUCUCCUCCCAAAGAGUAACGGAGGAGCACGAAGGUUAGCUAAUCCUGGUCGGACAUCAGGAGGUUAGUGCAAUGGCAUAAGCUAGCUUGACUGCGAGAGUGACGGCUCGAGCAGGUGCGAAAGCAGGUCAUAGUGAUCCGGUGGUUCUGAAUGGAAGGGCCAUCGCUCAACGGAUAAAAGGUACUCCGGGGAUAACAGGCUGAUACCGCCCAAGAGUUCAUAUCGACGGCGGUGUUUGGCACCUCGAUGUCGGCUCAUCACAUCCUGGGGCUGAAGUAGGUCCCAAGGGUAUGGCUGUUCGCCAUUUAAAGUGGUACGCGAGCUGGGUUUAGAACGUCGUGAGACAGUUCGGUCCCUAUCUGCCGUGGGCGCUGGAGAAUUGAGGGGGGCUGCUCCUAGUACGAGAGGACCGGAGUGGACGCAUCACUGGUGUUCGGGUUGUCAUGCCAAUGGCACUGCCCGGUAGCUAAAUGCGGAAAAGAUAAGUGCUGAAAGCAUCUAAGCACGAAACUUGCCCCGAGAUGAGUUCUCCCUGACCCUUUAAGGGUCCUGAAGGAACGUUGAAGACUACGACGUUGAUAGGUCGGGUGUGUAAGCGCAGCGAUGCGUUGAGCUAACCGAUACUAAUGAACCGUGAGGCUUAACCUUACAACGCCGAAGCUGUU
rnacentral:rRNA from 1 species